rnacentral:lncRNA from 1 species
CAGUGAGUGGAUCGGUUACAGAAAGAAAUGUUAUUUCAUCUCAGAGGAGGAGAAAAACUGGACAUCUAGUCAGACCUUCUGUGCUAAGAAUGGAUCUUUGCUUGCUGUUUCUGAAAACCAGAAAGAAAUGCUAAGCGCUUGAAAAUGGAAGUUUCUUGGAUUGGAUUACGGAAGAAAGGGGAAAGCUUCUACUGGGAGAAUGGCAUUGCCUUGAAGAUGGACUUGUCCUGUGCAGUCCUCUUUCUGCCACUUGGUCCUCAUUCAGCACUGUCCUAAGAAUUUUUUCUCUCUGUGUAUUCAUUCAUAUUAAAUAUAGAGCAACUGCUUUGUUGCAUCAUACCAAAGUGCCCUCACUGGGUCUUUCCCAGGUCGUCUGAAGACAUUUCAUCUGGAAUCACUGUUUCCUCCCUUCUCAGCAGUAGUCCAGCCACUGCAGUCAACUCUGUUGGUUUUAGAUACUUGUAAAAGUGUCGUGAACUUUAGACAUCAUUUUUUGUAAACAUGCAUCCCCUUUAGCAUCUUGCCCUUCUUAGAAAUUCUGAAGAAAAAGAUGCGUGGCUGGAAUUCUUCCCAGGGCUCACUUAUUACUCUCAGUUUAUACCUACGUCAUUGUAGGUAUAAACUGUUAAUAACCUAACUUGAGCUUGAGCUAGGUUAUUAACAGUGGAAAAACUAGAAGAGAUUUUUCAGGGAAAUUCCUCAGGACUUUGUCAUCUAUUUUAACAGUUCCUGGAAGGACACAGGUAUUGGUGGCACUUUUGACAUCCAGUGACAAUGGGAAAUGGAAAUCAAUUCUUCUCUAACCAAGAUUUUUUUAGAGGCACCCCUUCCUGUCAUAGUGCAAUGCCAC